rnacentral:rRNA from 1 species
UACGGAGGGGGCUAGCGUUGUUCGGAAUUACUGGGCGUAAAGCGCACGUAGGCGGCUUUGUAAGUUAGAGGUGAAAGCCCGGGGCUCAACUCCGGAAUUGCCUUUAAGACUGCAUCGCUAGAAUUGUGGAGAGGUAAGUGGAAUUCCGAGUGUAGAGGUGAAAUUCGUAGAUAUUCGGGAAGAACACCAGUGGCGAAGGCGGCCAACUGGUC